AUGAGUCGGCCUAAUGGGAUCAACAUCCCCGACGGCAAGUUCUACCUUGGAGAUGCUGGCUAUGCAUGCCAGACGGGCAUUCUUUCACCCUUUAGGAAAACUAGGUACCAUCUCAACGAGUUCUCUGGUAGGAACUAUCCUAGGACUGCGCAGGAGCUAUUUAAUCUCAGACACUCCAGCCAUAGAGUAAUUGUUGAGGGGGCAUUUGGAGCUCUGAAGAAUAGUUUUAAGAUCCUGGAUCAGAAGUCAUUCCACCCAUACUCCACUCAGGUUAAGCUUGUUCUUGCUUGUUGCAUUCUUCAUAACUGGAUACUUCAGUGGGGCUUUGAUGAACACAUGCCUGAGGAGGAAGAGGUCGAGCCUGACGAUGUUGUUAGUUCCGGCCAUGGUGUGGAGGCAUUUGACAAUGACGCUUGGAAGAACGAAAUGUUGGACUGGGCAGAGGCAAUGUGGCUUAACAGAGGUGAGUGCAGGAUUUGA
rnacentral:rRNA from 1 species